rnacentral:misc_RNA from 1 species
GAUGAAGAACGUAGCGAAAUGCGAUACGUAAUGUGAAUUGCAGAAUUCAGUGAAUCAUCGAGUCUUUGAACGCACAUUGCGCCCUCUGGUAUUCCGGAGGGCAUGCCUGUCCGAGCGUCAUUGCUGCCCUCAAGCACGGCUUGUGUGUUGGGCCCCGCCCCCCGAUCCCGGGGGGCGGGCCCGAGAGGCAGCGGCGGCACCGCGUCCGGUCCUCGAGCGUAUGGGGCUUUGUCACCCGCUCUGUAGGCCCGGCCGGCGCUUGCCGAUCAACCAAACUUUUUUCCAGGUUGACCUCGGAUCAGGUAGGGAUACCCGCUGAACUUAAGCAUAUCAAUAAGCGGAGGA